rnacentral:lncRNA from 10 species
AUUUAUUUUAAAAAUCCUAUCUAUUUUUCCCAGAACAAAAACAAUCUCAUUUUUUCUCAUUGUAUUUGGAAUUAUAUGUAUUCUGUCUAGCAUUUUUUGUAUUUUUCUUCUAUAGUUCCUUUUUCAAACCUUUGAGGCUUUUCCCAUUAUGCCAUAUUUCACCUUAGGAACUUGCUGCCUCUUGCUAAUAUUUGAAACUGCUUGAACAUUUACAAUGUCCUUUCACAGUUAUCUCAAUAUCUGAAGUAAUCCUGUAAAGCAGAUGCCACUGUACUGUGGGGAGCCCUGGCUUGCCUGGUUUUACGGUUUAGUAGAACUUGAUUACAAAUCUUAGAGUUGAGGCUCCAGUCCUCAUAAUCCUUCCAGCAUACCACACAGCCAUCUUAGGGAAAACUGCAUUGACUGUGAAGCUUAAUGUUAACACAGGAAAGUACCUGUGUUUGCUCAGCAGGAGUGGAGAACGGAAGGGGCAGGAUAUAAAGGCUAUGUUAAUAUGUAUUACAUUGGUUUAGCCAUUAUUCUAGCUGACUAGCUUACAUAAAAUUUAGGAAAAUGUGGUGCGCUGAGAAGGUAAUUUGAAGCUACUAAAGACAAUUGAACAGAAGAAACAGGAGUCGUAUGGAAUACUUAUUGUGCGUCAAUUGCUGUAAAAAGUGCUUGUAAAUACAAAUGUAUCGAAGAUCUAUUGUUUUUCUUCUGAACUUUCUCCUUUGGAAAUGGCCCUUUCCUUCCUCUGAGAUCACCUGUCCCCAUCUCUUCUCUCUUGUUGGUAAAAACUAUAUAUUAUUGUUGUUGUAGCAACCAUGUUAUAAACUGACUCAAUUCCUGAUCACUCUUGGUUCAUUCAAAGGGUGGACACUUAGGUGGCCAAUGAAUCUCUUCCUAUAUUGGACUUGAAACUUAGAAAAUUACACAGUAAAGCAACAAAGCUCAAGAAAUGUACAAAACCAUGUUUGAUGCCACAAGGAACAGGAAAAGUGAAGCAUCAUAUGAAGAAGUAAUACAUUAAUCAAGCCAACAUGGGAAGGAGAAAACAGAUGAAAUAUAGUCAAGCCAUGGGCUUCGACAAAGUUCUCAGAGAAACAGACUCCCAGACGACGCUGGCCAUUCCCUGGCAACGGCCAGGUUUGCCAUUAUCCAGCCACUCUGAGACCUGUUAUCAGGCCUGAGGUGAGUCUUAAGAAGUCAGGGAUAAAGUCAGAGGUCUUGGGGUGCAGUGCCCUAGCUUUCUAAUAUUGGGAGCUCCCCUUGCUAAGUGAGAAAGACUCCCAAUUGACCCACUCUCUUCCAUCCAACUUGGGACAUUGGCUCUGUUUCCACCUGAUACACAGGGCCUGAUGGUCAGGUCCAGGACUCCUACAGAUGUGCAUCUGUGGCACAGGAUUGUGGGCAAAAGCUUCACAAUACCCAAAUCCCUUAAGCUCCUGUAAGUCACAGGAGAUGGGGAAACUACCCACUUCAUUCUUGGAGUUCCAGGAAGGCCUUAAUUCUGAGGCCUACAGUUUCCAGGGUGCUAAGAAGGGAGUAAAUUUAUCUCUGGGAGCGUCCUCACUACAUCCCACUGCAGGUUCUGAAAGAUGUCCUUGUUACAGAGACUGAGGGAAGUCUCUACUCCCCCUCACCUCUGCUCCCAACUCUGUCCUUCCCCUACUUGCAGCCUCUGUUGGUUGAUUUAUGCCAGAUCUCUUAACUUCUAUGUAUGCAAACCAGUGUGAGGCUCAAGCCCUCUAAUAGAGGCCCCUUAAGGUGGCUUCUUAGCCCUAUGUUGUUUUAACCUCUAGAUGCCAUGGGACUCCCUCCAGGAACUCUUUUAUGAUGAUAGUACAUUGAACAUAAAGGAAGAUAUAGAUACACGAAAAUGUUAAGUUGCAGAAGAGGAAAGAUGGGGGAGCUCACAUAAGAUGGCUUCAAUCUUCUCAGUGGAGGAGGAUUGGAGGUAAUUUGCUUUUAAUUAAGAGGACAGAGUAGUGUUAGAGGGCCCAGGAAACUUAAAAAAAAGGCUUGGAAUGACAGGCUGAGGGAAAUUAUGAGAUUCAACAUAUUAAUACAACUCUACUCAACAAUAGUUGAAGACCCAGGAUGGGUGAGUACAGUGUCUUCAGUAGAGAUUUCUUUAUUCCUCUAGAAAAGCUGGACAGUCUAAAAGUAGGAGCAGAGAAAAAUGACACUGAGUUGUACCCUGACCUGGGAGAUGCCAUGUGGGAAUAGCAGAAGAUAAAAAGUCCUAGGGAUACUAGAGGUGGUAGAGACAUCUUUCAAUGUUGUGACUAUCACACAAGAAACAAAGCAGCAGGGGAGGAAGAUAAUGAGAGCCAAAUGAUUUGGUUUGAGUUCAAGGUUUUAAAGAAAUAACAGUUGGGGGUGAUUUUACAGAGAGGUUGAAGUGUAAUUAAGAUCAAAGUCACUGGUGAAUGUAAAAAAAUAUGUUGUGAAGCCAAGACUUUAACAGGUUGUUCAGGAAUAGAAUUGUGAGUAAAACAAAAGCAAAAUUAAAUAUCAUCUCCAGCACACCACCACCACCGCUACCACUCAUCACCACCAACACUAACAGCAAGAACACAAUCUGUUUGCCACAUGUGUAAAGCACUAGGAAAUUUAGCAGAGUGUCCCAGAGGGUGAAGCAUAAAUUAAAUAAAGGGAGUGGAUUAUUCGAAUUAUAUGAAUUCCAAAAGGAGAAGUUGUUGAAGGAUGGGGGUAACAAUAUUCGCUGGAGUAAAAGUGAGUUACAUAGAGUCCAUUUGUGAAAAAUACCAUGUUAUCAGGUUUCAUAUGAAUGAAAGAUGUCAAAAGAGUGUUUGAAAAAAAUUUCUGAAGGGUGUUUAUGGGACAGAGGAGAGGGCUGGGCAAAAAGUAGUAAGAGAGGAAUUGGCCUGGAAUUGAUGAUGCUAUAAAUGAGAGAAGGCAAGAAGUAAUAGUGGUGAAAGAUUUGGAAGGGGCUUUGGAGAGAAAUGAAAGUAAAAGAGAAGGAGAAAAACAAAAUAAGGCUACUCUUGGGGAGGAUCACAGAAGGCUAGUAGAAGGGCAUUUAUCUGGAAAUCUGAACAGCAAAAGCAUUCAAAUAAAGCAAUUGUUAUAAAAGGAUUAUGUGUGGUCAUCCAUUAAAAAAGAAGUCAUACCAAUGUACUGUUUAAAAAUGAUUUGCUGGAGUACUGAGGCUAAGUAAUGGUGUGAUGCAGAAACAGUGGUCCCUAAAAACUUGGUUUGUGAUGGCAAGUUCACCUAAGUCAUGGGAUAUAGAAUCCAAGUAUGGACUUUAAGACAAGCAACACUGUAACUAAUAAUAUUUGAGAAAUCAGAAAUGAUGGUUCCUAGUUGUUAUAUCUUAGCAGGUAAAAAAAGUGUUUCAAUGUGUUGAAUUACUAAUAGGCAGAUAUCUAAUUUUUAAUAGAUAGGCAGAAAAUUUCACUAACAGAUAUUUUAACUCUUGAUUUUUCUAUGUAUCUAAAAAUAGAUAUUUUCCUAAAAGUAAUUUAAUGCUUUGAAACAUUAAAAUUACACACACACACACACACACACAAACACACACACACACUUUGUUACUCUGUAGGAGAUGGAAAAUCCAAGAGCUAAAAUUUGGGAGAUGGCAGGGCUACAUCACAUUAAGUGGUAGAAGCAAAAGGCCCUUUGGGAAUAAAUGUAUCUAACUCCAGAAAUACUGUUACUCUUGAAACAGAUCAGAUCCUGUUCAUUUCAGGUAAAUGAUCUUUGAAAUCAGUUUCAAGUUUCUAGUCAAGAAAGUAGAUAUGAGAUUCUACCUCUAUAAAUUUACCUCCCAUUACAAAAUGAGCAAUAGUAAUAUUGUUUUAGGAGCCACAACUAUUUUUAGUUCAAGUAACAUCUUAUGUAGCAUCUUUGAGAACUCAUUUUUUUCCAUGCAAAUAGUCUAACUAUUUAAGGAAUAUAGAGAGCACAAAACAUGGGUAAAGACAUACUGUUUCGGGCUGGGCAUGGUGGCUCACGCCUGUAAUCCUAGCACUUUGGGAGGCACAGGCAGGCAGAUUGCCUGAGCUCAAGGGUUCGAGACUAGCCUGGUCAACAUGGUGAGACCCUGUCUCUAUUAAAUUACAAAAAAAAUUACCUGGGUGUGGCGGCAUGCACCUGUAAUCCUAGCUACUUGGGAGGCUGAGGCAGGAGAAUUGCUUGAACCCAGGAGGUGGAGCUUGCAGUGAGCUGAGAUCGCGCCACUGCACUCCAGCCUGGGCAACAGGGUGAGACUCCAUCUUAAAAAAAAAAAAAAAAGGACAUACUGUUUCUCUAACUUUUGCGAUGUGUUUCACAUUUUGAUGUAAUUGACUUCGCUUAUGUUUUGGAGUUUUUGUUGUCCCUCCACCUGCCUUGGAAGACUUGUAGAAAAUCAGAAUUUUGUGAGAUUCCAAUGCAAAGGAAAUCAUUUAGUUUUACUUUAAGCAACUCUUAAGUAGGCAAGAGUAUUAGGAUUCUCCAGAGAAACAGAACUAAAUAUGUCUAUAUAUGUAUAUAAAAUAUAUACUUCUAUGUAAAUCUAUAUUGUACAUGCAAACACACACACGCACCCACACAUGCGUGUGCACACACACACAGAGAAAGUAAAAAAGUGGUUCACAUUAUUGUGGAGGCUGGAGUCCCAAGAUCUGCAGUGGGCAAGCUGAAAAUACAGGGGAAGUCAUGGUAUAAGAUUUAGUCCAAGUUGGAAGGGCUGAGAACUCAGAGUCAAUGAUUAAGUUCCAGCCUGAGGGCUAGAGAAGAUCAAUGUCUCAGCUCAAGCUGUCAGGCAGGCUAAGUAUCCUCUUAACGCAACCAUUUUGCUCUAUUCUGAUAUUCAGUUGAUUAAAUGAGACCCACACUCAUUGGAGAAGGCAAGCCACUUUACUCAAUUUACCAAUUCAAGUGUUACUAUCACCCAGAAACAUCCUCACAAAAACGCCCAGAAUAAUGUUUGACCAAAUGUUGGGAACCCCAUUGCCCAGUCAAAUGAACCCAUAAAAUUAAUGAUCACAAUUGGAGAAAUAAUCAUUUGUAACUGCUGUGCCAAAUUCUUUCUGUAGUUUUGUCUAUACCAUGGCUAGACAUGUGCAUGAAAGAUAUUUCAUAUUGAAAGAUAAAUAUAUUUAAAGAAUAAAUAUCAUUAUGAAAAACUUGCUUAAGACUGGUAUUAUCGUGAGUGUGUGUGUGUGUGUGUGUGUGUGUGUGUGUGAGUUGGGAUCUCUCUCUGUCUCUCAGGCUGGAAUGCAGUGGUUCUAUCAUGGCUCGUGGCAGCCUCAAACUUCUGGGCUCAAGCAAUUCUCCCAUCUCAUCAUCCCAAGUAGCUACGACUACAAGUGCAUGUCACCAUGUCUAGCUAAAGUUGUUUCUUUUUAUUUUUGUACAGGCAGGAUCUUGCUAUGUUGCCCAGGCUGGUUUUGAACUUCUGGCCUAAAGUGAUCCUCCUGCCUUGGCCUCCCAAAGUGCUGGGAUUACAGACGUGACUCAUCGUGCCCAUCCUCCUAUUAUCUUUUUAACAUUUUUGCUUUCUUUGAGAUUUUAUAUACUACAAAGAAUGUCAAGUUGGGUAGAUUUAUUGUAAAUAGAAUAAGGUAUCUCUGGAUUUGUGUUUAUAGCAUUAAAGACUUCAAUAAAGAUUUAUACAUUAUAUCUG